rnacentral:rRNA from 1 species
UACAGAGGGGGCAAGCGUUGUUCGGAAUUACUGGGCGUAAAGGGCGCGUAGGCGGCCUGUUAAGUCGAACGUGAAAUCCCCGGGCUCAACCCGGGAACUGCGUCCGAUACUGGCAGGCUAGAGUACUAAAGAGGGUCGCGGAAUUCCCGGUGUAGAGGUGAAAUUCGUAGAUAUCGGGAGGAACACCGGUGGCGAGGGCGGCGACCUGGGUAGAUACUGACGCUGAGGUGCGAAAGCGUGGGGAGCAAACAGG